AUGCAAAGAACUUUGAAAAGAGAGUUAAACAGGGCUUGAAACCGUUAAGAGUGAAGCGUAGGAGGCCAGUGAUCAUGGGGCCAGAUCACCAGACGCCCGCAAGGGCGUUGUACCGUUCUGGUCACGGGGCAGCGCCGGCUGGAGGCGGGCGAUAAGGGUUGGUGGUCGAGCAAUUUAUUUUGCACCACCUCUCCCGUUAGCUUGCACCCCGGCCGAGGGAUCCGCAGUCAAAUGCGUGAGGGCGCUGYCAAAAUGGCCUUUUACAUCCCGUCUUGAAACACGGACCAAGGAGUCUAACAUACCCGCGAGUGUUUGGGUGGUCAAACCCGGACGCGCAAUGAAAGUAAAGGGCGCUUGUCGUCUAAGGUGGGAACCCGUCAAACGGUGCACCAUUGCCCGACCAUGAGCCCCUCGGGGUGAACGGUUUGCGGAAGAGCGAGUAUGCUGGGACCCGAAAGAUGGUGAACUAUUCCUGAGUAGGGCGAAGCCAGAGGAAACUCUGGUGGAGGCUCGUAGCGAUGCUGACGUGCAAAUCGCUCGUCGAACUUGGGUAUAGGGGCGAAAGACUAAUCGAACCAUCUAGUAGCUGGUUCCCUCCGAAGUUUCCCUCA
rnacentral:rRNA from 1 species